rnacentral:rRNA from 1 species
AGCUCCAAUAGCGUAUAUUAAAGUUGUUGCAGUUAAAAAGCUCGUAGUUGGAUUUCUGUGCAGGUGCCUGCGCCGGCUUGACGCCAGUGUGCGGUGGACCUUCACAUCCUUCUGGUAACUGCUCCGGCAUUUAUUUGUCGGUUCAGGCUCAGAUAUUUUACCUUGAGAAAAUUAGAGUGUUUCAGGCAGGCUUUGCUCGGAAUACAUUAGCAUGGAAUAAUGGAAUAGGACUUGUGCGUCUUUCGGGGCGCCGGUCUCUGUUGUUGGUUUCAGGGACUAAAGUAAUGAUUAAUAGGGAUAGUUGGGGGCAUCAGUAUUUAAUAGUCAGAGGUGAAAUUCUCGGAUUUGUUAAAGACUAACUUAUGCGAAAGCAUUUGCCAAGGAUGUUUUCAUUAAUCAA